CACGUAGGGGGCGAGCGUUGUCCGGAAUCAUUGGGCGUAAAGAGCUCGUAGGCGGCUCAGUAAGUCGGGUGUGAAAUCCCCAGGCUUAACCUGGGAACUGCAUCCGAUACUGGAUGGCUUGAAUUCGGGAGAGGGAUGCAGAAUUCCAGGUGUAGCGGUGAAAUGCGUAGAUAUCUGGAGGAAUACCGGUGGCGAAGGCGGCAUCCUGGACCGAGAUUGACGCUGAUGAGCGAAAGCUAGGGGAGCAAACGGG
rnacentral:rRNA from 1 species